UGAUUCUUGGCAAAUAGGUGAGAGAACUAAUAGCAACCAGGCAACUGAGGACGAAGUCAAAAAGUCGGUAACAGAAGAAUGGAAUCAGCCAACCCACUUGAUAAGAACAGAGACGGCAAAAAGAACACAGGCAUUAUCUAAGAAAACAAAAACAAAAAUCUAAUUAAGCUACUUACACAACAAAAAGAACAAAACUUCACUUAAAGCUAGCUUUAAAAUAUUAAAUUUAAAUAUUUUCAAAAUUGGCUAUAAAAAGAUCUAAGGCCAAGAGGGUAAAAAAAAAAAAAAAAAAUCAAAGUCUCAGCAUGAAGUAAGGAACCUUGAGACAUUCACACAAAGCACUUAUUUGUUAAAUCGCUCCAACGACUCACUGACAUGGGUGUAGGAUGGCACAUGAACCACAUUCUCUGCUAGAGAAACAGGUCCCUGUGCCCUUAUGAGCCCAGGAAUCUGAAGAUGUGCAAACAGAUCAUUAUAAUCCAAUGUGUCAAGUGCUACAACAGAGGCAGAAACAAUUUGCUUUGCCUGAAGCAUCAGGAAAAAAUAUGAAGAAAUGACACAAGAUGGGUCUUAUGAGUAGGGUUUAGCUGGAAGGAAUGGCUGGCAAUUGCUUAAAAGACAAGUGUAUUAAACUCAGAAUGCUACAUACAUUACCCUUUGCUCUAGAUAAAUAUAACCUGAAAUUCAAAUUUCGCCAUUAACCUCACUUCCCCACCCAACCUCCCAAACACCAAAAUUCAUUGCUUCCUGCACCCUGGUAUCUAUGUUAACACACACUACUUUCUUCUUCGUUUCUCAACUCUUCCUCAGGUUGUUCCAACUCUCCAUUAAUCCAUGUUCACUAAUUUUUUCACAAAACAGCCAAGUAAUCUCAAG
rnacentral:lncRNA from 10 species